AGGAAUAUUGGUCAAUGGGCGAGAGCCUGAACCAGCCAAGUAGCGUGCAGGAUGACGGCCCUAUGGGUUGUAAACUGCUUUUAUAAGGGAAUAAAGUUAGUCUCGUGAGACUUUUUGCAUGUACCUUAUAAAUAAGGACCGGCUAAUUCCGUGCCAGCAGCCGCGGUAAUACGGAAGGUCCGGGCGUUAUCCGGAUUUAUUGGGUUUAAAGGGAGCGUAGGCCGGAGAUUAAGCGUGUUGUGAAAUGUAGACGCUCAACGUCUGCACUGCAGCGCGAACUGGUUUCCUUGAGUACGCACAAAGUGGGCGGAAUUCGUGGUGUAGCGGUGAAAUGCUUAGAUAUCACGAAGAACUCCGAUUGCGAAGGCAGCUCACUGGAGCGCAACUGACGCUGAAGCUCGAAAGUGCGGGUAUCGAACAGGAUUAGAUACCCUGGUAGUCCGCACGGUAAACGAUGGAUGCCCGCUGUUGGUCUGAACAGGUCAGCGGCCAAGCGAAAGCAUUAAGCAUCCCACCUGGGGAGUACGCCGGCAACGGUGAAACUCAAAGGAAUUGACGGGGGCCCGCACAAGCGGAGGAACAUGUGGUUUAAUUCGAUGAUACGCGAGGAACCUUACCCGGGCUUGAAUUGCAGAGGAAGGAUUUGGAGACAAUGACGCCCUUCGGGGCCUCUGUGAAGGUGCUGCAUGGUUGUCGUCAGCUCGUGCCGUGAGGUGUCGGCUUAAGUGCCAUAACGAGCGCAACCCCUCUCCUUAGUUGCCAUCAGGUCAUGCUGGGCACUCUGGGGACACUGCCACCGUAAGGUGUGAGGAAGGUGGGGAUGACGUCAAAUCAGCACGGCCCUUACGUCCGGGGCUACACACGUGUUACAAUGGCAGGUACAGAGAGACGGUUGUACGUAAGUACGAUCAAAUCCUCAAAGCCUGUCUCAGUUCGGACUGGGGUCUGCAACCCGACCCCACGAAGCUGGAUUCGCUAGUAAUCGCGCAUCAGCCAUGGCGCGGUGAAUACGUUCCCG
rnacentral:rRNA from 1 species